GACGAACGCUGGCGGCGCGCUUAACACAUGCAAGUCGAGCGAGAACCAGGCCUUCGGGCCUGGGGAAAGCGGCGAACGGGUGAGUAACACGUGGGUAACCCACCCUUGGUACCGGGAUAGCCCGAGGAAGCUCGGAUUAAUACCGGAUGGCCCAACAGCUUUUCGGAGCGGUUGGAAAAGGUAGCUUCGGCCUCCGACCAAGGACGGGCCCGCGGCGGAUUAGCUUGUUGGUGAGGUAACGGCUCACCAAGGCGACGAUCCGAGCUGGUCUGAGAGGACGAUCAGCCACACUGGGACUGAGACACGGCCCAGACUCCUACGGGAGGCAGCAGUGGGGAAUCUUGCGCAAUGGGCGAAAGCCUGACGCAGCGACGCCGCGUGGGGGAAGAAGGCUUUCGGGUUCGUAAA
rnacentral:rRNA from 1 species